rnacentral:rRNA from 1 species
CCUACGGGGGGCUGCAGUGGGGAAUAUUGGACAAUGGGCGAAAGCCUGAUCCAGCCAUGCCGCGUGUGUGAAGAAGGCCUUCGGGUUGUAAAGCACUUUCAGUGGGGAAGAAAGCCUUGGGGCUAAUACCCUCGAGGAAGGACAUUACCCACAGAAGAAGCACCGGCUAACUCCGUGCCGGCAGCCGCGGUAAUACGGAGGGUGCGAGCGUUAAUCGGAAUUACUGGGCGUAAAGCGCGCGUAGGCGGUCUGAUAAGCCGGUUGUGAAAGCCCCGGGCUCAACCUGGGAACGGCAUCCGGAACUGUCAGGCUAGAGUGCAGGAGAGGAAGGUAGAAUUCCCGGUGUAGCGGUGAAAUGCGUAGAGAUCGGGAGGAAUACCAGUGGCGAAGGCGGCCUUCUGGACUGACACUGACGCUGAGGUGCGAAAGCGUGGGUAGCAAACAGGAUUAGAUACCCGAGUAGUC